ensembl:lncRNA
AUUUUCCCUUAAUGUGAAGGCAGGCCCAACGCUCAGAGCUGCUGCUGGCAGAAAGUACGCGGUUGAUACAUCGGCUCCUCGAUCUAAGCUUGAUUCCCAGUGGGCUGACGGCCGUCGCAGUGUAAAGCACAGCGGGAUUGUUUUCCAACAGCCUGGAGCCUUUCCGCUACCUACUCAACGUCGACUGACAACCAACCGCUAUGGUCUGACCAGCCAAUGAACCGACAGCCAGAUAUGGAGUCAGUGGCUGUGUUAUCUAACAUGAGCACUUUCCACUGGCGCACUCCGCAGACAGAUUGCGAAGGAAAUUGAGUGGAUUCCAGAGGCAAUAGCACCGAGGCAGCAGACGGCACACGAAGGACAGACAAGACACUAAACAAUUAGCCAUUACGCAAAGUAAUUGCACGCUGUUGACCAACCUCAGUAUCAGAACGGGCGUAGGUCAGGAGUCGUCACACGAGAGGCCCGCAUAUCGAGGAAGGUCCACUAGGGUUCCAAUGCCACGGACAGUGUAUUCUGUUUUGGGAUGGAUAUUACCUCACUGGAUUCAAUUCACUAAUUAGCUACAUGCAAAGUGUAAGCAACAUGAUGCCUUUUUGUUGUUAGAACUGCAUCGUUAUUUUUUACGGUUUGAUACAAUUUGCGAAAACCAAACUGACCGGUAAACAUAGGAAGUAUCAGGGCAAACAUCCUCUCGGAGUACAAAAAACAUACAAGUUCUUUGAGGUAGAAAAUGCCACCGGUGUUAGUUUGAAGUGCUUUCAAGUAAGCAAUGCAGAUUUUGCCAGCUCCGGUGUCCCGAAUUUGAAUCACGAAUUAGGACAAAGCUAAUGACGCUAACUCCUGGCUGGGAGAAAAGUAAAGAAUAGCUUAUAUCGUCUAGGGCCAGACCGGGCCUGUGUUCAAAAGAAGGUAAUCAGGCUGGGCUGGGUUCAGGCUUGCCAAAUUGUAAAAGAAUACAAAUAAAGCUGUGUGCUCUCCUCUCUGUCGAGCUGCAGUGGCAGGGACAGGUGCGGUAAUGACAGUUAUUAACUCGUUUCUUACUUGGCUCUGACAGAAGUGUAUGGUACUGAAAUUGCUUAUUUUGAGAUUACGAAAGAAAAAAAACAUAACAUUUUGGCCACAUGUGCCCUCCACGCUCUAUUCAUAAGACAUGUGUUUGUUUAACUGACAAUUAUCUUGCUCUCCUCUCCACCUAAACCAGACACUAAAUCCAGCACCAGUUUUUAGUUGCAAACAUUAUUUCCAC